rnacentral:rRNA from 1 species
UACGUAGGGUGCGAGCGUUAAUCGGAAUUACUGGGCGUAAAGCGUGCGCAGGCGGUUUCACAAGCUCGAUGUGAAAGCCCCGGGCUUAACCUGGGAAUGGCAUUGAGGACUGUGGAGCUCGAGUGCGGCAGAGGGAGGUGGAAUUCCACGUGUAGCAGUGAAAUGCGUAGAGAUGUGGAGGAACACCGAUGGCGAAGGCAGCCUCCUGGGCCGACACUGACGCUCAUGCACGAAAGCGUGGGGAGCAAACAG